GAAAAGAAAACUGAAUAAUACUCUAUUUUUCUACAAUGAAUCUAGAAGAAAAAGAAAAGACCAAAUAUAGGAUUACUUGAAUGAGACAAAAAAGAUGGAAUUUGGAGGACAAGACAAGAGAUACUAAGAAGAGUAAACCCAAUAAACAGACUGCAGCACAGAAAGGGUCCAGGACCAGGGAGGUGGCUUGUUCAGGAAAGAGUUAACUCAACAGGUCUGGGAUAUUCAAAUCCCACACAUUUCGAAAAAAAGUUCUCUCCUCAUUGGCUCCUGGGAGAAAAUCUCUACGUCUUUGGACUAUUCUUCCAGAUUGGAGACUGAAAAGAAGAGAAGUUAAGGAACUUGUCUAAGAUUAUCAAGCAAAAAUUUAAAGCUGAAGUUUCAAUAUUUUCUCAGAAAACAAGAAAAGUUAGUGAUCUCAUUAUAGAAGGACUAAAAGCCUGCAAAGUAUAUUUUUGUUAACUCCAAAGGACAGACUUUCAGGGCAGUUUACCAGGAGACAGCUUUUACAAUGAGUGCACUGGCAAGAGGAAGGAAAAAGCCAUUUUUGCUGCUUCAUGUGUUGCCUACACAGAGACUGUUACAGUGGCUUCAGCAGAGUCAGUGGUUGUGUCAACAGCAUCUGGAGCAGAGAGGGCAAGCUUAGUUCAUAUGAAGCAGCAAUAGCAACAGAAGAAAAGGCAGUGACAUCACCCUCAGCUUGUUGGAGAAAAGCAAGAGUGGACUAACAUACAUCCUGUGCCUGGAAAAGCCACAGACACUCAAUGCCAGCCUGGGAGAGCAGCUGUGGUGGCUGAACCCUGAAAAAUCACAGGACUAGAGCUGCCCAAGCCUUUGGGAGCCUACCUCUUGCAUUGGUGUGCC
rnacentral:lncRNA from 1 species